CGUGUUAUAAUUGUGGGAGAUAUGGUCAUUUAGCGAGAGAUUGUUAUCAAACCGGUGGCGGCAGUAUAGGAAGUAGGAGAUACGACGGCGGCGGAUACUCCGGUGGAGGAGGAGGAGGGGCAUGUUACAAUUGCGGUGAGGAAGGUCAUUUUGCUAGAGAUUGCCCUAAUACUGAUCAAAACUGAAACAAUGUGGGUGUU
rnacentral:misc_RNA from 1 species